GACGAACGCUAGCGGCGUGCUUAACACAUGCAAGUCGAACGAGUGGCGGACGGGUGAGUAAUGUCUGGGAAACUGCCUGAUGGAGGGGGAUAAAUACUGGAAAAGGUAGCUAAUACCGCAUACCAUGGGAUGUGCACAGAUGGGAUUAGCUAGUAGGUGGGGUAACGGCUCACCUAGGCGACGAUCCCUAGCUGGUCUGAGAGGAUGACCAGCCCCACUGGAACUGAGACACGGUCCAGACUCCUACGGGAGGCAUCAGUGGGGAAUAUUGCACAAUGGGCGCAAGCCUGAUGCAGCCAUGCCGCGUGUAUUAAGAAGGCCUUCGGGUUGUAAAGUACUUUCAGCGGUGAGGCGUUACCCGCAGAAGAAGCACCGGCUAACUCCGUGCCAGCAGCCGCGGUAAUAC
rnacentral:rRNA from 1 species